GGCCUGGUAGUGUAUGGCGCACAGCUGCGGAGUCGUCCAGUCGAUCCAUUCUUUGCACAUUUGCGCAGUAGGUCUUCGUUCGAUUCGAGGCCAGGCCA